rnacentral:rRNA from 1 species
GACGCACGCUGGCGGCGUGCCUAAUACAUGCAAGUAGGACGCAGUUGCGAACGGGUGAGUAACGCGUAUGUAACUACAUAUUAGAGGGGGAUAACUAUUGGAAACGAUAGCUAAUACCGCAUACUAGUAGAUGUACCUGCGUUGUAUUAGGUAGUAGGUGGGGUAAAGGCCUACCUAGGAAACGAUACUUAGCCGGCCUGAGAGGGUGAUCGGGCACACCGGGACUGAGACACGGGCCAUGAUCCUACGGGAGGCAGCAGUAGGGAAUCUUCGGAAAUGGGGGGAACCCUGACCGCGCAACGCCGCGUGAGUGAAGAAGGUUUUCGGAGCGUAAAGCUCUGUUGUUAAGGAAGCGGUACUUAACCAGAAAGGGACGGCUAACUACGUGCCAGCAGCCGCGGUAAUUC